AGUCAACCUACCCUAUGGACGGGAAUAAUCUCGGGAAACUGAGGAUAAUUCCAGAUAGAACACUAUGCCUGGAACGGUUUGUGUUCCAAAUGAUUUAUCGCCGUAGGAUGGGACUGCGUCCUAUCAGUUUGUUGGUGAGGUAAUGGCCCACCAAGACUAUUACAGGUACGGGCUCUGAGAGGAGUAGCCCGGAGAUGGGUACUGAGACACGGACCCAGGCCCUAUGGGGCGCAGCAGGCGAGAAAACUUUGCAAUGUGCGAAAGCACGACAAGGUUAAUCCGAGUGGUUCCUGCUAAAGGAACCUUUUGACGGUCCUAAAAACACCGUUGAAUAAGGGGUGGGCAAGUUCUGGUGUCAGCCGCCGCGGUAAAACCAGCACCUCAAGUGGUCAGGGGGGUUAUUGGGCUUAAAGCAUCCGUAGCCGGCUCUGUGAGUUUUCGGUUAAAUCUGUGCGCUCAACGUACAGGCUGCCGGGAAUACUGCAGAGCUAGGGAGUGGGAGAGGUAGACGGUACUUGGUAGGAAGGGGUAAAAUCCUUUGAUCUAUUGAUGACCACCUGUGGCGAAGGCGGUCUACCAGAACACGUCCGACGGUGAGGGAUGAAAGCUGGGGGAGCAAACCGGAUUAGAUACCCGGGUAGUCCCAGCUGUAAACCAUGCAAACUCAAUGAUGCAUUGGCUUGAAGCCAAUGCAGUGUU
rnacentral:rRNA from 1 species